rnacentral:rRNA from 1 species
UACAGAGGUGGCAAGCGUUGUUCGGAAUUACUGGGCGUAAAGGGCGCGUAGGCGGCCACCGCAAGUCGACUGUGAAAUCUCCGGGCUUAACCCGGAAAGGUCAGCCGAUACUGCGGGGCUAGAGUGCAGAAGGGGCAACUGGAAUUCUCGGUGUAGCGGUGAAAUGCGUAGAUAUCGAGAGGAACACCUGCGGCGAAGGCGGGUUGCUGGGCUGACACUGACGCUGAUGCGCGAAAGCUAGGGGAGCGAACGGG